AAAGUACCUUGUGUUCUUUAUGUGUAAGUUCUGUCCUCAGAGCUGUUCUGUCCCUACAUGGCUUUGUAGGGAAACAAACUCAUUUUUCCCCCAUUUUGAAAGAAAUAUAAGCCAUCAUCUAUCUUAGAUGCUGUUUAGAAGUAGAGGAUAAUUGGAAGAUGGGAUGCAGUGCAGCAUCGGCAGCUAUCUUCUCUCCAUGGGCUGGUGCUCUCUUGAUAAUUGAUGAUGAGAUGGAAGCACAGAGGCAUUUACAGUUAAUCCACAGAUUCGUGAAGCUGCAAUUUUUAAAAAUUUCCUUACUUCAUGACUAUAUGAAACAUAGAGGAAUGAAUGGUGGCACUACGUUUACGGAUGGGUGGUCUAGUAAGCUGAUAAUGGUCCCAAAGUUAUCAAGUCCUAACCCUUGAAGCCUGUGAAUGUUAUCUUAUGUGGAAAAGAUCUUGAGAUGGAGAGGUUAUCCUGAAUUACUGGAUGGAUCUUAAAUGCAAUCAAGUGCCCUUAUAAAAGAGAGGCAGAGGGAAAUUUGACACAGAGAAGACACACACAAAAACAGAGGAGAAGGUGAUGUGAAGAUGGAGCAAAGAGAGAUUUGAAGAUACUGGCCUUGAAGAAUGGAGUGAUGCAGACACAAGUCAAGGAAUGCUGGCAGCCACCAAAAGCAAGAAGAGGCAAGGAACAGAUUCACCCCACCAGAGGGAGCAUGACCUUGACACCUUGAUUUCAGACCAAUGAUACUGAUUUUGGAUUUCAAGCCUACAGAACUAUGAAAGAAUAAAUUUAUUUAUUUUUUUUUAGACA
rnacentral:lncRNA from 1 species